CCCCCACCUGUACAUGAUGUUGGCAUCUCUCAGUGCUUUUGUGAUGGGUAGGAGGCUUUUACGCUUUGAGAGGGUGGCCGCUGAGAGGUCUGUAUACAGCGUUACGCCUGUGAACCUGUCCGGCAGUGUUGGCUGUAGUUUAGAUGCUUGUAUGAUCUUUUCUUUGGAGGUAUAGUAGUGCAGUUUAAUAAUGGUGUCUCUCGGUACUGAGGGGCCAAGAUGUCUAGGCCGCGGCAGCCUGUGUAUGCGGUCCAUCAGCAGGAAGGGUUCCCCGAUGUCUGGGACCAGGGCUUGGAAGAGGUCUGUGGCAUAGGCCCUAAGGUCUUGUGGCAGGACCGUCUCAGGUAUCCCGUGCAGGCGUAUGUUGCUGUGCCUGCUCCUGUCCUCUUGGUCCAUUAGCUUGUCAGUCAGGU